rnacentral:rRNA from 1 species
GACGAACGCUGGCGGCGUGCUUAACACAUGCAAGUCGAACGGUGAAGCGCUUUCCUUUUUGGUUGGUGUGGAUGAGUGGCGAACGGGUGAGUAACACGUGAGUAACCUGCCCCCUUCUUCUGGAUAACCGCAUGAAAGUGUGGCUAAUACGGGAUAUUCUGCGCCUGCUGCAUGGUGGGUGUGGGAAAGAUUGUGCCUUUGGGUGUUUUCGGUGGGGGAUGGGCUCGCGGCCUAUCAGCUUGUUGGUGGGGUGAUGGCCUACCAAGGCGGUGACGGGUAGCCGGCCUGAGAGGGUGGACGGUCACACUGGGACUGAGACACGGCCCAGACUCCUACGGGAGGCAGCAGUGGGGAAUAUUGCACAAUGGGCGCAAGCCUGAUGCAGCGACGCCGCGUGAGGGAUGGAGGCCUUCGGGUUGUGAACCUCUUUCGCCAGUGAAGCAGGCCUGCUCCUUGUGGGUGGGUUGACGGUAGCUGGAUAAGAAGCGCCGGCUAACUAC